rnacentral:misc_RNA from 1 species
GAUGAAGAACGUAGCGAAAUGCGAUAAGUAGUGUGAAUUGCAGAAUUCAGUGAAUCAUCGAAUCUUUGAACGCACAUUGCGCCCUUUGGUAUUCCAAAGGGCAUGCCUGUUCGAGCGUCAUUUGUACCCUCAAGCUUUGCUUGGUGUUGGGCGUCUUGUCUCUAGCUUUGCUGGAGACUCGCCUUAAAGUAAUUGGCAGCCGGCCUACUGGUUUCGGAGCGCGGCACAAGUCGCACUCUCUAUCAGCAAAGGUCUAGCAUCCAUUAAGCCUUUUUUUCAACUUUUGACCUCGGAUCAGGUAGGGAUACCCGCUGAACUUAAGCAUAUCAAUAAGCGGAGGA